rnacentral:rRNA from 1 species
UGUAAGAACACCGGGAUUGCCUUAGUAACGGCGAGUGAAGCGGCAAAAGCUCAAAUUUGAAAUCUGGCACCUUCGGUGUCCGAGUUGUAAUUUGAAGAAGUAACUUUGGGGCUAGUCCUUGUCUAUGUUCCUUGGAACAGGACGUCAUGGAGGGUGAGAAUCCCGUAUGGCGAGGAGCCUAGUCCUAUGUAAAGUGCUUUCGACGAGUCGAGUUGUUUGGGAAUGCAGCUCUAAGUGGGUGGUAAAUUCCAUCUAAAGCUAAAUAUUGGCGAGAGACCGAUAGCGAACAAGUACAGUGAUGGAAAGAUGAAAAGAACUUUGAAAAGAGAGUGAAAAAGUACGUGAAAUUGUUGAAAGGGAAGGGCAUUUGAUCAGACAUGGUGUUUUGCGACCCUCGCUCCUUGUGGGUGGGGUCAUCGCAGUUCACUGGGCCAACAUCAGUUUUGGCGGCAGGAUAAAUCUUUGGGAAUGUAGCUAGUCUUCGGAGUAGCAUUAUAGCCCAGAGGAAUACUGCCAGCCGGGACUGAGGACUGCGACUUUUGUCAAGGAUGUUGGCAUAAUGGUUAUAUGCCGCCCGUCUUGAAACACGGACCAAGGAGUCUAACGUCUAUGCGAGUGUU